rnacentral:lncRNA from 10 species
AAGUCCGUUGGGUCUGAGUGUACUCAAUAAAGAUAUCCUCCUCUAUAUACCCCAAGGUCUCUCUCGGGUCCUCCUGAUCCGCUACACACCUGGUGACCCACAUGGGACUGAGAGACUGCAGCUUGGCUGGCUUCUUUGCCUGUGGGCGGUCUGGGGCCUCGGCUGUGGGAGACCCUUAACUUCAGGACCCAUCAAGGGAACUUAAGCCCAGAGAAAGGAGCUGUUCUCCCGCGUCCCCGGUGCCCCUCCCCUGACAGCACAAGGGAACCCGGAGGGGUUGCAGGACGGUUCCAGGAAUGGCGCCCUUUCUUCAGAACCAUGAAGAAGAAGGAGGAUGAGGAGGAGGAAGAGGAGAAAGAAAUGAUAUGGAAGAGGGGCAGGGAACUGCAGGGAGGAGAAGGGUGGGUCCCUGGCAAGGGCUCCACCCUUGGCUUGUGCCCAGGGACCUAGGUGAGGACAGGCACUCCUGCUUUCACACCCAAAUGUUGCAUUUCCCAAGAUCACUCUGCCUUGCCACACCCCCAUCAUAUGCCUAUAAAACUCCUGAGACUCUAGCAGGCAAGCACACAAGUGGCUGGACGUCAAAACGAGUGGAUUAGCAGAAGAAGAAACAAGUGGCUGGACAUCAAAAGGA